rnacentral:rRNA from 1 species
GACGAACGCUGGCGGCGUGCUUAACACAUUCAAGUCGAACGGAAAGGCCCUGCUUGCAGGGUACUCGAGUGGCGAACGGGUGAUUAACACGUGGGUGAUCUGCCCUGCACUUCGGGAUAAUCUUGGGAAACUGGGUCUAAUACCGGAUUGGCGCCAUCUUUAGUGUGGUGGUUGGAAAGUUUUUUCGUUGUAGGAUGAGCUCGCGGCCUAUCAGCUUGUUGGUGGGGUAAUGGCCUACCAAGGCGGCGACGGGUAGCCGGCAUGAGAAGGUGUACGGCCACAUUGGGACUGAGAAACGGCCCAGACUCCUACGGGAGGCAACAGUGGGGAAUAUUGCACAAUGGGCGAAAGCCUGAUGCAGCGAGGCAGCGUGGAGGAUGAAGGCCUUCGGGUUGUAAACUCCUUUCGAUAGGGACGAAGCUUUUUGUGACGGUACAUAGAUAAGAAGCACCGGCUAACUACGUG